UCCCUGGUGGUCCAAUGGUUAGGACUCAGCAUUUUCACUGCUAGGCCUGGGUUCAAUUCCCAUUUGGGGAA
rfam:Ovis aries breed Texel chromosome 9, whole genome shotgun sequence.